rnacentral:rRNA from 1 species
AUUGAACGCUGGCGGCAUGCUUUACACAUGCAAGUCGAACGGCAGCGCGGGCUUCGGCCUGGCGGCGAGUGGCGAACGGGUGAGUAAUGCAUCGGAACGUGCCCAGUAGUGGGGGAUAGCCCGGCGAAAGCCGGAUUAAUACCGCAUACGACCUGAGGGUGAAAGCGGGGGACCGAAAGGCCUCGCGCUAUUGGAGCGGCCGAUGUCGGAUUAGCUAGUUGGUGGGGUAAAGGCUUGCCAAGGCGACGAUCCGUAGCUGGUCUGAGAGGACGACCAGCCACACUGGGACUGAGACACGGCCCAGACUCCUACGGGAGGCAGCAGUGGGGAAUUUUGGACAAUGGGGGCAACCCUGAUCCAGCCAUGCCGCGUGCGGGAAGAAGGCCUUCGGGUUGUAAACCGCUUUUGUUCGGGAAGAAAUCCUCUGGGCUAAUACCCCGGGGGGAUGACGGUACCGGAAGAAUAAGCACCGGCUAACUACGU